GGGGGUAUGGCAUAGGGGUAAUGCGUUCGCUUCGCAUGCGAGAGAUCGAGGGUUCGAAUCCCUCUACCUCCA
rnacentral:tRNA from 1 species